rnacentral:rRNA from 1 species
CCUACGGGUGGCAGCAGUGAGGAAUAUUGGUCAAUGGACGAGAGUCUGAACCAGCCAAGUAGCGUGAAGGAUGACUGCCCUAUGGGUUGUAAACUUCUUUUAUAUGGGAAUAAAACGUUCCACGUGUGGGAUUUUGUAUGUACUUUAUGAAUAAGGAUCGGCUAACUCCGUGCCAGCAGCCGCGGUAAUACGGAGGAUCCGAGCGUUAUCCGGAUUUAUUGGGUUUAAAGGGAGCGUAGGUGGAUUGUUAAGUCAGUUGUGAAAGUUUGCGGCUCAACCGUAAAAUUGCAGUUGAAACUGGCAGUCUUGAGUACAGUAGAGGUAGGCGGAAUUCGUGGUGUAGCGGUGAAAUGCUUAGAUAUCACGAAGAACUCCGAUUGCGAAGGCAGUUCACUGGACUGCAACUGACACUGAGGCUCGAAAGUGUGGGUAUCAAACAGGAUUAGAUACCCGAGUAGUC